rnacentral:sRNA from 1 species
UAGUUUAGUUCUUCAGAGACAACUAGUGC